GACAGAGGAGCCAAGCGUUGUCCGGAUUUACUGGGCGUAAAGCGCGCGCAGGCGGCCCCGCAGGUCGGUUGUGAAAGCCCCCGGCUCAACCGGGCGGAGGCGAGCGAAACCGCGGGGCUGGAGGCUGGCAGAGGGUGGUGGAAUUCCCGGUGUAGUGGUGAAAUGCGUAGAGAUCGGGAGGAACACCCGCGGCGAAGGCGGCCACCUGGACCAGACCUGACGCUGAGGCGCGAAGGCCGGGGGAGCGAACGGG
rnacentral:rRNA from 1 species